UGCUAUACAUGCAGUCGAACGCUUCUUUCCUCCCGAGUGCUUGCACUCAAUUGGAAAGAGGAGUGGCGGACGGGUGAGUAACACGUGGGUAACCUACCCAUCAGAGGGGGAUAACACUUGGAAACAGGUGCUAAUACCGCAUAACAGUUUAUGCCGCAUGGCAUAAGAGUGAAAGGCGCUUUCGGGUGUCGCUGAUGGAUGGACCCGCGGUGCAUUAGCUAGUUGGUGAGGUAACGGCUCACCAAGGCCACGAUGCAUAGCCGACCUGAGAGGGUGAUCGGCCACACUGGGACUGAGACACGGCCCAGACUCCUACGGGAGGCAGCAGUAGGGAAUCUUCGGCAAUGGACGAAAGUCUGACCGAGCAACGCCGCGUGAGUGAAGAAGGUUUUCGGAUCGUAAAACUCUGUUGUUAGAGAAGAACAAGGACGUUAGUAACUGAACGUCCCCUGACGGUAUCUAACCAGAAAGCCACGGCUAACUACGUGCCAGCAGCCGCGGUAAUACGUAGGUGGCAAGCGUUGUCCGGAUUUAUUGGGCGUAAAGCGAGCGCAGGCGGUUUCUUAAGUCUGAUGUGAAAGCCCCCGGCUCAACCGGGGAGGGUCAUUGGAAACUGGGAGACUUGAGUGCAGAAGAGGAGAGUGGAAUUCCAUGUGUAGCGGUGAAAUGCGUAGAUAUAUGGAGGAACACCAGUGGCGAAGGCGGCUCUCUGGUCUGUAACUGACGCUGAGGCUCGAAAGCGUGGGG
rnacentral:rRNA from 1 species